GUUCUACUGCGGCGUUGGUGACUGCCAAUAACGUUUUUUUGAUCUAUGCCUUUACAACAAGGGAAUCGUCUCGACCGAUGGCAGUAGACCGGGCACGUACUCGGAAACUUUAAAUCGGCACCUCGAUACCCACCUGGUUUCUUACCAGGUCAAAAGCUGAGGCAAGACGGCGUUGCGGGGAACCC
rnacentral:other from 2 species